UACGGAGGGUGCAAGCGUUAUCCGGAUUCACUGGGUUUAAAGGGCGCGUAGGCGGCCUGGCAAGUGGAAGGUGAAAUCCCUCGGCUUAACCGAGGAACUGCCCUCCAAACUGCUUGGCUUGAGUCCGGGAGAGGUGAGUGGAAUUCCCAGUGUAGCGGUGAAAUGCGUAGAUAUUGGGAGGAACACCAGUGGCGAAGGCGGCUCACUGGACCGGAACUGACGCUGAGGCGCGAAAGCGUGGGGAGCAAACGGG
rnacentral:rRNA from 1 species